GUGAGGAAUAUUGGGCAAUGCCCGCAAGGGUGACCCAGCAACGCCGCGUGGAGGAUGAAUGUCGUAAGAUUGUAAACUCCUGUUAGAGGGGAAGAAUAGUACCGGUUGGACCGGUAUAUGACUGUACCCUCAGAGAAAGCCCCGGCUAACUACGUGCCAGCAGCCGCGGUAAUACGUAGGGGGCAAGCGUUGUCCGGAUUUACUGGGUGUAAAGGGCGCGCAGGCGGGAUAAAAAGUCAGUGGUGAAAUCCUACAGCUUAACUGUAGAACUGCCUUUGAUACUUUUAUUCUUGAGAUCGGGAGAGAGAGACGGAAUUCCAGGUGUAGUGGUGAAAUACGUAGAUAUCUGGAAGAACACCAGUUGCGAAGGCGGUCUCUUGGUCCGACACUGACGCUGAGGCGCGAAAGCGUGGGGAGCAAACA
rnacentral:rRNA from 1 species